rnacentral:tRNA from 1 species
AUCUUUCUAGUACAAAAAGUGCAAGUGACUUCCAAUCACUAGGUCUUGGUAAGAAGCCAGGGAAAGAUA